rnacentral:rRNA from 1 species
UCCGUAGGCGGGCGUCUAAGUCAGUGGUGAAAUCUCACAGCUCAACUGUAAAAUUGCCAUUGAUACUGGAUGUCUUGAAUUAGUGUGAAGUGGUUAGAAUGUGUAGUGUAGCGGUGAAAUGCAUAGAUAUUACACAGAAUACCAAUUGCGAAGGCAGAUCACUAACACUAUAUUGACGCUGAGGGACGAAAGCGUGGGGAGCGAACAGGAUUAGAUACCCUGGUAGUCC